CGAUAACCCAGACCAGUCAGAGGCUUUUGUUCUACAGCAGUGCUCAUUGUCAUAUUGCUAUUGACAGAAUCUCAAGUGCAAGGUGAGUAUUCUGUGAAUUCCGGUGCGGGUUCGGUGCAGAUCACUGCAGGGCUGAAUACAGGUGAGAACGUCUUUCAGAUGUGGAUAGUAUCAAGCAAGCUCGGAGGAACCACUGGAAGCUCGGGAGAUCACUGGAUCACGGGUUACAGGGAAUCAAACAGGGGACCUGGAGACAGUAGGACAACGACACAGAGGUUAGCGUUCCAAAGCCCAGUGUCAGUGAAGAUGGUGUGGACAGGAAUUCUGCUGUUUAUGGGAAAUCUGAAGGAACAUCUCCCAGCAUUCUACCACAUGUUGCCCUGAUGAUUGAGGAAUUUUUUCGGACUUUCCUGCCUCUUUGGAACAUUUCCGUUCACACAGACUGUGGAGAGAUGGUGUGCAGCUUCAUGAUGUGAAGUUUAGUGCCGAUGGAGAGCUUCUGGGACAUUGACAGACAGCACUUUCCAGCAAGUUCAUUUUGAGUUCUUUUUUUUUUUUAUUAAUUAAUUUAUUUAUUUAUUUAGUCAAACUUACAUUCACUAAUGCUGGAGUAACCUUUUAGAAGAAAACUUUCAGUCCUGUUUAAUGUUGGUGCUAGUAAAUGUUUGAGAACUAAUGGCCUGGUUUCACAGACAGGGCUUAGACUAAGCCAGGAUCAUAGUUCAAUAAGGACAUUAAGUAAUUUUCAUUAACAUGCCUUAGAAAAAACAUUACUGGCUUGCAUCUUGAGACAAAACAAAGGCACUGGUAUUUUUAAAGAUCAGUCAGUGCAAUUUUCUAUCAGUUGAAACAGCUCAGAAUUACAUUUUAGUCUGGGGCUGGUCUUAAGCCUUGUCUGUGAAACCAGGGGUACAAGUAACCCACUUUGGUAAUGUUUUACAAUAAGGUCUCAUUUGUUGUACAAAAUGAUAAUUUUCUUUAUUUUUUUGUAUUAAGUGUGUGUCUGUUUGUGUGUUAGUAAUCCUAUAUGUAAUGGGGACCAAAUGACUCCACAAGGAUAGUAAUACCAGUAAAUUUUGACCUUGUGGACAUUGUUAGGUCCCCAAUGAAGAAACAGGCUUAUACAUCUUACAGAAUGAUGUUUUCUGUGAUGGCGAAAUUAGUAUUGUUCUCCAGACUCUUUCUAAUAAGUGAGUUGAAGUGUUGUAACUGUAUAGUGUUGGGUUUUUCUUGUGCAUCAGCAAAAAGCAUUUUUGUGUAUUUGUUUUAGAGAUUUUGUCAAAAAAUGUAGAGGGUUUUCCAUUUUGUGUUUUUGUGUUGAUUGUAACUAGGUUAUUAGGAUGUUGUUGUUGUUGUUGUUUGUUUGUUUUUUU
ensembl:lncRNA